rnacentral:lncRNA from 1 species
CCCAGAGAACCUGUGUCUACUUCUGAGCGCUGGGAAUGAAGCAGAUCUCGCAAAAGGGGAGGAAGGCCUUCACCGCUGAACCCGAGCUUUGCCAUUUCGAAGUGCUGAGUCACCUCGUCCUCUCAGGGUCAGACACUUUCACGCAGGAAACGUCCUGCAGAGCACCGCAGCGGGAGCACCGAGCUGGUGUAUAGGUGUGAACCAAGUGCACGUCUAGUUCCCUUGGAGGCCAGAAAGAAGGCGGUGUCAGAUCCCCAGGAACCAUAGUUACAGAUGGUUGAUGUGGAAACUCAGAGAGGAUGCCACUGUUUUGAACUAUUUUGAAGGCACAGCCACCAGAGCUUUAGGUCAGAAGAGGUCCUUGGAACUGGAAUUACAGGUGGCUGUGAGCCUCCAGGUAGGUGCUGAGAAUCAAGCAGCCUGGCUCCUCUGUAGGAGCUCUAAGGAAUGCUCUUACCUGCUGAGCCAUCUGUCCAGCCCUGAUUGUCCUGGCUGUUAAUUGAGGAAGGAAGACUUACUCUGAGGGAGGGCUGAGCCAGUCCCCAGGCUGCUCCCUGAAUGGUAUGUAGAGGAGGGGAGCCAGCUAAGCACUGACCAGCGAGGGUGUGCACAUUUUCUUUGGUCUUUGUUUUGAAUGUGGUGUGGCUGGCUGCUUCAAUUCCUGACUUGAUUUCCUCAAAAGGAUAGGCUGUAACCCAGAAUGGUAAACUGCCUU